CCCAUAGAGAUUGAUCAGAGUCAGAUGAACGCGGCGACAGCCUAACAAUGCAAGUGGAGCGGCAGCGGAAAGUAGUUUGUAAUUUUGCCGGGAAGGGGCGGACGGGUAGUAAUGUCUGGGAAACUGCUUGAUGGAGGGGGAUAACUACUGGAGCGGUAGCUAUACCGCAUGACCUCGAAAGAGCAAAGUGGGGGAUCUUCGGACCUCACGCCAUCGGAUGUGCCCAGAUGGGAUUAGCUAGUAGGUGAGGUAAUGGCUCACCUAGGCGACGAUCCCUAGCUGGUCUGAGAGGAUGACCAGCCACACUGGAACUGAGACACGGUCCAGACUCCUACGGGAGGCAGCAGUGGGGAAUAUUGCACAAUGGGCGCAAGCCUGAUGCAGCCAUGCCGCGUGUGUGAAGAAGGCCUUAGGGUUGUAAAGCACUUUCAGCGAGGAGGAAGGCACCAUACUUAAUACGUGUGGUGAUCGACGUUACUCGCAGAAGAAGCACCGGCUAACUCCGUGCCAGCAGCCGCGGUAAUACGGAGGGUGCAAGCGUUAAUCGGAAUUACUGGGCGUAAAGCGCACGCAGGCGGUUUGUUAAGUCAGAUGUGAAAUCCCCGCGCUUAACGUGGGAACUGCAUUUGAAACUGGCAAGCUAGAGUCUUGUAGAGGGGGGUAGAAUUCCAGGUGUAGCGGUGAAAUGCGUAGAGAUCUGGAGGAAUACCGGUGGCGAAGGCGGCCCCCUGGACAAAGACUGACGCUCAGGUGCGAAAGCGUGGGGAGCAAACAGG
rnacentral:rRNA from 1 species